GACGAACGCUGGCGGCGUGCUUAACACAUGCAAGUCGAACGGAAAGGCCCUGCUUUUGUGGGGUGCUCGAGUGGCGAACGGGUGAGUAACACGUGAGUAACCUGCCCUUGACUUUGGGAUAACUUCAGGAAACUGGGGCUAAUACCGGAUAGGAGCUCCUGCUGCAUGGUGGGGGUUGGAAAGUUUCGGCGGUUGGGGAUGGACUCGCGGCUUAUCAGCUUGUUGGUGUGGUAGUGGCUUACCAAGGCUUGGACGGGUAGCCGGCCUGCGAGGGUGACCGGCCACAUUGGGAUUGAGAUACGACCCAGACUCCUACGGGAGGCAGCAGUGGAGAAUAUUGCACAAUGGGCGGAAGCCUGAUGCAGCAACGCCGCGUGCGGGAUGACGGCCUUCGGGUUGUAAACCGCUUUCGCCUGUGACGAAGCGUGAGUGACGGUAAUGGGUAAAGAAGCUCCGGCUAACUACGUG
rnacentral:rRNA from 1 species